AGCAAAUGGAAAAUCCGUGAUCUCUGCCUAUCCCUCUGGGAAACAGGCGUGAUUGUAUGUAUGUAUAUUAAAGUAAGGUUUACUCGGCUAAUUCCGAAAUUCGGGAUAUUCCGAAAAUUACUAAUAUCUACUAAACGUGGCUACAUAAUUUGCUCUGGCAACGCACCCUAUGACGUUCAAGUAUCUCCCUCCCAGCGUAAGUUGGCUCGAGAUGCUAGCGGCGAAACUACGCUUGUGGCGCAUCAGAUUAGUGAGCGAGUGAAAAAUUCCCGCUUUUUUGUCAUUCGGAAUUAGACGACCAUCGCUAACUCUGUACUUUGGUCCGUUCGGUGAAUUUCAACGAAGCACGUGUGUCAUCAACAUGGAUUGAUAAAGGCCUAGGAGGUCUUCCACCUAAGUUUAUGUGUAUUACUUGCGUUUUUUUAAAGGUUAAAGACUAUUCCUUAUUCAUAAAAAGUUACAACCUAUUUAAAACGUUGUUGAUGUGCGGAUGUCAAAAAACCUUAUUCAUAAACGCACAUUAACGCUAAACAGUGCAUCAUCUCUUGUGUAAAUCCUCGAAAUUUUAAAAUGAGCCCGACCCUAGUUUAACGGGAUUUUAGCGCAAAAAUCCAAGAUGGCCGCCUCACAUCAGCUGGCUUUUGACAGCAACUCAUGAACUGAUAUGAACCUCUGAGACGAGUGUUUGUUGCCUGUUCUUACAUUUUCUCAGAAAAAUGUAUUAUGUGUAAUUAAAUUGACAAGCUAAAAUUAUUAUUAAGUGGCGCAAAACCAAAGUAAUAUGUGUUGUGUGAAAUGCGGGCUACUUAUAUACCUAAACUGAAGGAUGUAACAGACUUUUGAUCGUGUCGAAGAAAAAGUGCAUUAUAUAGGGAACGAGUUCAGAGGCGAGGUGGCAGAAAUAGGUAAAAAUGUUGUCUGGCAGUAAUGAAACUUUUAAUGAAGCGAUGCAACCUAUGCUGGCAUGUUACUGGAAAAGUUGUGUCCAAUUUGGCCAUCAAGUGAAGAAAAGUCAUCACAGUUUGCUGCCUCCCUCUGCUGCUGCUGCUCGGUCCCAAGCUGAAGAUGGAAUUGUCAGAAUCUGAAAAAGACACAUCAGACAUAAAUAAAAUAUUUUUAAUGAACA